AUGGAAAAGGGAGGGUUGAAUGUAGGUGAUGUUCUUAUUUUGCCCGAGGGAUUCGAAUUUGCGUCAUCCGGUCGUAUUUCUCCCGAGUUAAAAGAAAAGAUAGAAAUCUUGCUUUUCAGAGUUAUCGUCCCGAUAAAAAAAACAUUCUUUUGA
rnacentral:rRNA from 1 species